AGUGAACGCUGGCGGUAGGCCUAACACAUGCAAGUCGAACGGCAGCACAGUAAGAGCUUGCUCUUACGGGUGGCGAGUGGCGGACGGGUGAGGAAUACAUCGGAAUCUACUUUUUCGUGGGGGAUAACGUAGGGAAACUUACGCUAAUACCGCAUACGACCUACGGGUGAAAGCAGGGGAUCUUCGGACCUUGCGCGAUUGAAUGAGCCGAUGUCGGAUUAGCUAGUUGGCGGGGGAAAGGCCCACCCAGGCGACGAUCCGUAGCUGGUCUGAGAGGAUGGUCGCCCGCACUGGAACUGAGACACGGUCCAGACUCCUACGGGAGGCAGCAGUGGGGAAUAUUGGACAAUGGGCGCAAGCCUGAUCCAGCCAUACCGCGUGGGUGAAGAAGGCCUUCGGGUUGUAAAGCCCUUUUGUUGGGAAAGAAAAGCAGCAGGUUAAUACCCCGCUGUUCUGACGGUACCCAAAGAAUAAGCACCGGCUAACUUCGUG
rnacentral:rRNA from 1 species